CCGCCUGUAAAAAUGUAUUUAGUCGUGAGAUAAUAACCUCUUGAAUCACUUCCUCGAGGACUUACUCUUUCGUUCCGACGAACAAAAGAUCAGAUUACAUCGAUACAACCAAGAGAGCUCGAGCUCCUGAAGAGAACUAAUUUUGUGGAUUAUGAGGAUCUAUGAAAUGAGAGAACCACCAGAAAAAGAGAGAGAGAGAGGGGGAGAGAUUAUCAUUUGAAAAAAAAAAAAGAAAAAGAAGAAGAUACGCAAAGAUAUAUAAGUAUAUAUGCUAUUGAAAAGCGGCGUUCGUCUACGUUGAAUAAGAGGAAGAAGUGUAGAAAGAAGGAGGUACGAAAUGGAGACUCGACAAUUUACGCAUCGACAAAAGGCCUUUCGCGAAGAGAAGGGAUAGAGUAGGAUAGAGUAGAGAGGGAUACGGGAGGGGUGUGGAACUAGAAGGAAGAAAGAGGGUGGAUCAGAGGAAAAAGCUCGAGAGGUGCUCUCUGAUCACUCUUUCUUUCUCUUUCUCUCUCUCUCUCUCUCUCUUUUUCUUGUUCGACGUAAAGUCGUUCAAGUCGAGGCGAAUAAAGAGGCAGACGAAGCCGCGCUACUCGUCAAGAUCAAACCUUUACCCGCGUGCUUACGAGAGAAUUAGAUCGACGAGAUACAGAAGGUAGACAUCGAAUGGGGUGAAUGUACGAAAGAAGGAAGGAAAAAGAAAGGAAAAAGAAGUGAAUGAAAGAAGGAAGGAAGGAAGGGAGGAAGAGGAGGAAGGAAGUACCACCUCAGCACGGUCGAUCAACGAAAAUAUCAUUGAAUGUCUUCUACAAGCGUCGUUUAAUUCUUUCCAUGUAAUAUCCAUCGAUUUAACUUUAAACAAAAUUAUCUUUACGAUUCAUCGUAAAAUAUUGUAUUUUUUUCCAAAAGCAUAAAGUUUGACCUACCAACAA